UGGGGAAUCUUCCGCAAUGGACGAAAGUCUGACGGAGCAACGCCGCGUGAGUGAUGACGGCCUUCGGGUUGUAAAGCUCUGUCAAUCGGGACGAAAGGUCCUCUUGCGAAUAGUUAGAGGAAUUGACGGUACCGGAAUAGAAAGCCACGGCUAACUACGUGCCAGCAGCCGCGGUAAUACGUAGGUGGCAAGCGUUGUCCGGAAUUAUUGGGCGUAAAGCGCGCGCAGGCGGAUCAGUCAGUCUGUCUUAAAAGUUCGGGGCUUAACCCCGUGAUGGGAUGGAAACUGCUGAUCUAGAGUAUCGGAGAGGAAAGUGGAAUUCCUAGUGUAGCGGUGAAAUGCGUAGAUAUUAGGAAGAACACCAGUGGCGAAGGCGACUUUCUGGACGAAAACUGACGCUGAGGCGCGAAAGCCAGGGGAGCGAACGGGAUUAGAUACCCCGGUAGUCCUGGCCGUAAACGAUGGGUACUAGGUGUAGGAGGUAUCGACCCCUUCUGUGCCGGAGUUAACGCAAUAAGUACCCCGCCUGGGGAGUACGACCGCAAGGUUG
rnacentral:rRNA from 1 species